GUCCGGCCCGCCCGCAGGCCAGCUUCUCUCGGGAGCCUCCACCCAGGCGCAUGGCUCCAUGAAGCAAGAGGAGGAGGCAGAGCGCGAGAGAUCCCGUCCGCCCCAGCCGCGUCUGGGCCAGGAGAAAAGCAAAACCAUAUUCCUGCUGCUGUCAGUUUUGAUGCACUGAGAAAACUUCAGAGACCUAAGCUUUUUCCAGAGAAGAGAAGCUUUACUGGUGUUCCAGCCCUAAGGCUCAUAUGACAUUAACAGACAAGACACUUUUCAGAAAGACAGAUGGAGUCUCUCUGUCACCCAGACUGGAAUGCAGUGGCAUGAUCUUGGUUCACUGAAACCUCUGCCUUUCUGGUUCAAGCAAUUCUCAUGUUUCAGCCUCCCAGGCAACGUGUUGGACCUUCCGGAGCUUCUCAGAAGACAGAGGGUUUUCUUUUGAGACAAAUCAACUCAAUCAAAGAAACCAACUCAAAGAAAGAUGGGUCUACAUACAACAAAACUGAACAAAAUCUGCAAGAAGAGUGAUUCAUACAUGGGCUAUUGAGGCAACAUGAGAUGGACAUUAAUCGACUAAGUAAAAAACAGAUUUCUUGAAGAAUUAAUAAAGAACUUUUGUUUUGGAA
rnacentral:lncRNA from 1 species